GACGAACGCUGGCGGCAUGCCUAAUACAUGCAAGUCGAGCGAAUGAUGAAGAAGCUUGCUUCUUCUGAUUUAGCGGCGGACGGGUGAGUAACACGUGGGCAACCUACCCUGUAGAUUGGGACAACUCCGGGAAACCGGGGCUAAUACCGAAUAAUCCAUUUCCUCUCAUGGGGAAAUGUUAAAAGACGGUUUCGGCUGUCACUACAGGAUGGGCCCGCGGCGCAUUAGCUAGUUGGUGAGGUAACGGCUCACCAAGGCGACGAUGCGUAGCCGACCUGAGAGGGUGAUCGGCCACACUGGGACUGAGACCACGGGCCCGG
rnacentral:rRNA from 1 species